AACGAACGCUGGCAGCAUGCCUAACACAUGCAAGUCGAACGAUUGCCUUCGGGUGAUAGUGGCGCACGGGUGCGUAACGCGUGGGAAUCUGCCCUUAGGUUCGGAAUAACAGCUGGAAACGGCUGCUAAUACCGGAUGAUAUCGCGAGAUCAAAGAUUUAUCGCCUGAGGAUGAGCCCGCGUUGGAUUAGGUAGUUGGUGGGGUAAAGGCCUACCAAGCCGACGAUCCAUAGCUGGUCUGAGAGGAUGAUCAGCCACACUGGGACUGAGACACGGCCCAGACUCCUACGGGAGGCAGCAGUGGGGAAUAUUGGACAAUGGGCGCAAGCCUGAUCCAGCAAUGCCGCGUGAGUGAUGAAGGCCCUAGGGUUGUAAAGCUCUUUUACCCGGGAAGAUAAUGACUGUACCGGGAGAAUAAGCCCCGGCUAACUCCGUG
rnacentral:rRNA from 1 species